rnacentral:rRNA from 1 species
UACAGGGGGUGCAAGCGUUGUUCGGAAUUACUGGGCGUAAAGCGCGGGCAGGUGGCCCGCUAAGUCUGCGGUGAAAUCUCCGGGCUUAACUCGGAACGGUCAGCUGAUACUGCUUUGCUAGAGUGCGGAAGGGGCAAUCGGAAUUCUCGGUGUAGCGGUGAAAUGCGUAGAUAUCGGAAGGAACGCCGGUGGCGAAAGCGACGUGCUGGACCUUUUCUGACGCUGAGGCGCGAAAGCCAGGGGAGCAAACGGG